rnacentral:rRNA from 1 species
AGUGAACGCUGGCGGUAGGCCUAACACAUGCAAGUCGAACGGCAGCACAGUAAGAGCUUGCUCUUACGGGUGGCGAGUGGCGGGCGGGUGAGGAAUACAUCGGAAUCUACUUUUUCGUGGGGGAUAACGUAGGGAAACUUACGCUAAUACCGCAUACGACCUACGGGUGAAAGCAGGGGAUCUUCGGACCUUGCGCGAUUGAAUGAGCCGAUGUCGGAUUAGCUAGUUGGCGGGGUAAAGGCCCACCAAGGCGACGAUCCGUAGCUGGUCUGAGAGGAUGAUCAGCCACACUGGAACUGAGACACGGUCCAGACUCCUACGGGAGGCAGCAGUGGGGAAUAUUGGACAAUGGGCGGAAGCCUGAUCCAGCCAUACCGCGUGGGUGAAGAAGGCCUUCGGGUUGUAAAGCCCUUUUGUUGGGAAAGAAAAGCAGCAGGUUAAUACCCCGCUGUUCUGACGGUACCCAAAGAAUAAGCACCGGCUAACUUCGUG